GAUGAACGCUGGCGGCGUGCCUAAUACAUGCAAGUCGAGCGAACGGACGAGAAGCUUGCUUCUCUGAUGUUAGCGGCGGACGGGUGAGUAACACGUGGAUAACCUACCUAUAAGACUGGGAUAACUUCGGGAAACCGGAGCUAAUACCGGAUGAUAUUUUGAACCGCAUGGUUCAAAAGUGAAUGACGGUCUUGCUGUCACUUAUAGAUGGUUCCGCGCUGCAUUAGCUAGUUGGUAAGGUAACGGCUUACCAAGGCAACGAUGCAUAGCCGGCCUGAGAGGGUGAUCGGCCACACUGGAACUGAGACACGGUCCAGACUCCUACGGGAGGCAGCAGUAGGGAAUCUUCCGCAAUGGGCGAAAGCCUGACGGAGCAACGCCGCGUGAGUGAUGAAGGUCUUCGGAUCGUAAAACUCUGUUAUUAGGGAAGAACAUAUGUGUAAGAAACUGUGCACAUCUUGACGGUACCUAAACAGAAAGCCACGGCUAACUACGUG
rnacentral:rRNA from 1 species